UCGAGAUGGACCUCCCCUGCUCGACUUUCUUUGUUGUUCACGUGUUCUCCAGUGUGCGACUGACUAUGACGAUGGUGGAUCAAGAACAGAGGUGGCGACAGUGAUCACGCGGUGACAUUUCGGUGGGGGCAAGUCAUGGCUGUGACGUUUGGCUUCUGCGACGAAGCCAACAGUGACGACGGCGGCGUUGUUACUAGGCCACGUUCUUUUACUGCGACGAGCCAACGGUGAUGACAGCAGUGAUAUUUCGAUGGGAAAAGUGAUGGCUGUGACGAUGGAUUGGCUAAAAACCACUCUUUACCGUAGCCGUCGGUUUACAACCAGAGCAUCGGUUUUUGCAGGUUUACGAUCCCCGUAUCUGGACGUCGUUUAUCAGUGAUAUCACAGGUCAAGAUUCAAGAACAAAGGGUGAAGGAGGGAGGUGCUUCGUGAAGGUGAUGCUCAGCCGCUGACCGCCGUUGUGAGGUGGCCGCACCCCUCCAAUGGUCUACAAUAGCUGACAAGGGAUUUUGAAAAAUGAAGAGAAGUAUGGUUGUUUUGAUAUUGGGUUUGGGUAAAUGGUUUUGGGAAGGUAAUGGUUUUUGCACGUAUGUGAAAUAA
rnacentral:lncRNA from 1 species